CGCGAAUGCAAUGGUGCGCGGAUGCCAAGGACGCCAAGAGCCAUGGUCUUGGCCAAGUUUGAUCCCGUUGGGGACGCGUCAGCCUGCGGACCCUGACUCGGGGUCGCUGUCCACUUCUCAGACCGAGCUCUCACCCGGUCCGGCCCCGCUCCAGCACGCUCCCGCUGCCCCGCAGCUGAGCAGCGCUGCUCAAAAAGUCGCUCGACCACUUCCCAAGAAGUCGACAUCACACCACCUCGCUUCACCACCGCCCUCCCGGCCGCCUCUCCUCAGCCUGGAGCAGAGCCAGAGCUGGCUGCUGCUGGGGCAGCAGGUCAGAGAGGAGCACUGGCAGAAGUGCAGCGUGCCAGCAGCCAAGCAACCCGACUGGCUGGCAGCAAGACAGGGGAGCUGCAUGAAGGAAGAUAAAGAGGGAUCAAUGAUCUGUCUGGAGAAGUGGAAUUUCAGUGCAGCCCCAAGCACAGAUGCACUGGCAGUUUCAGCAAAAACCUCAAAUACUUGAAUCCAGCCACUCUUCUUGUCAUCACUGAGCUGUACCUGAACCAGCUGCAAAGAUAUGUGUGUGAGCAAAGCCUGUUGAGAAGAAGAGCAAAUUAAAAUUUUAGCAUAAUGCAUGAAACUCCAUUCCAGCAGGAGGAUGAGCCUUUUCGAGGUGAUUGCUGGGAAAUACAGCUUCUGCAAAGUUUCAUAUCUUUCUCAAAACAUGCUCUCUCUUUGAGUCAGGCUGCAAAUAACCUCCCCUCCUUGCUCUCCUAAAGCAAGAUGGAUGGUGUUAGAGGAACAUUCAUCAAGCUGGAUCCAGCUGAGCACAAACUGCUGCCAUGAAACGCAAGGAGUAACUGGAGCAGCGACUCUGAAUGGGAGCAUGCAAUUUCUGCUGAGAACAGUGAGCUUCGUGCCCUGAUAACCAAAAUCAGACAUUGGUUUUACAGUAUCUACUUUUUAUAUAGGUACCACAGAGUUACAGCCCCUUCAGUUUCUCCAGGAAAAGUCUUUAAAACUGUUAAAAUUCCUCUCUUAUUUACAAAUUUGUAGAUUUACUAAUUUUUAGCACUGUGCUUUUGUAGUAAGAGCGCAGUGCUAAACCUCUGGAAGGAAAAAGUUUAACACAAAUGAAAUUUCAUUGUUUCAGUGCUAUCUUUGCUGCUUACAGAUUACCUCUUUCCUGGGAUACUGUUGGUAGUGAAAUCUCUCCUUUGCAGCAGUUAUUUAAUGUUUCUCUCUCUUACAGCCAUGAAAAUGGAACUGAAAACUUCAAACACCUUGCCUACCCCAUUCAACUUCUGCCUCCACCCACUGUCAGGGCUUCUGUUUAUCUUCUGGUUAGUUAAAACGUCUGCCCCAGACCCUGUGCAAAAUUAAACCCCAGGCAGGAAAAACGCCACUAGGAUUCCCUAUGAUUCUCCAAGGGCUGCUGAUACAAGUCAAACAUUCCUCCUAUAAAAUUAGUAGAUGAAUAGAAACACUCUUUUUGACUCUGUGCUCUGGACUUGAUAUGAGCUACUUUCCAAAAUCUACAGGACAGAGCAAAGGAAGAGUUUUUCCCCUCUCCUUCCUCCUACACUCCUGACUAAUGCUUCAAAAAUCAGAGUGACGCUGUUCCGUGCACUUGAAAACAGAGAUGUUCUGUGUAGAAUUUCACAGGCACGGCGUGUCCUUCCCACAGAAGAUGUGUGUGCCUCAGAUCCUGAGUCUGUGGCAGUCAGAGCUUUGGUCCAGACCCGGUUUAUUGCCUUGCACUUUUAUGUGAAAAAGCUCUGCCAUAGCCCUGAGGAACAUGGAAUUAAAAGUCUGUAGCUCCCUGGGUGACUUCUUGGUGAUGGCUUUUGUGCAAGCCUGGUUUCAGUUCUGUUCCUUAAAACUGCAGCUCAAAAUCCUGGAAGUAUUUCUUUAUGCACCGAGUGACAGACCUCUGUGGAGCCUCCACACAGCUCUGCCAGGGAGCUACAGCCCUUACUCCUUCCCAUGCCUUAAACCCCACUGAAAACUGCGAAAGGAUCUCUUUGUGUUAUCUUCUAAAUGUUAGCAACAGAGAAGGAAAUUUGCCAUAUUGGUCUAUUACCCACUUACCGCUGCUGAGAAAUAUAUGUCUGAACAGCUGUCAAGGCAAAAGCUCAGCUGUGUGAAUCAUUAAAACUGCUUCUCAGCUCGCCACUGGUAAGUUUGAAGAUCACAAUGAAAAAAUAUGUCUUCAUGCAGUCUCCCAUUAGCCCUCCUCAAGCUCGUGGGCCAUUUAGGCAGCUUAACACAAGAUUGAUCUUGCUGUUGAGCAGCACAGCACAAAGCACAGGCAGAAGCUGUCUUUCCCUCCAGCUACAGGGGGAAUUGAACAGCAUUGCCAUGCUCCAGAUUUGACAAAGGAUAAUUAUUGGUUGAUAAUUAUUGGCCUGGAGAGGGGACUGUAGCUCAAGGUUUACGUGUGAGUCACGCCCUUGUGUGUUUGCACACAUACACUGUGCACACACAUUCACUGCAGGAAUGAGAAGAUGAAUGAGAUGGCCCUUUGGGAGAAGAUGCUCUGCAGCUCUCUGCUACUCCUGGACCUCAACUUCAUUUAUUUAACCCCAAUCCUUGGGUUUAGCUGUGUUUCAGUCCUGGAGCAGAAAACCAGUGCUUUUACAGUCUGCCUUUUACUAAAUUGUCUAAUCAUUCUGAACAAGCAAAAGUCUGCCUGCUUUUUCAAAUAAGGGCUGGAAAUUUUAUUGAAGAGCUAUUAGUAUAAAAAUUGAAAAUGUGGCGCCAUUGUAAAAAGAAGACAUUCCAGUUUACAGGAAUUAAGUAGUGAUGGCUCACAUGGAGUUCACAUACCGUUGCAUGAAGAUUUUUGUGAUAUCAACUCAUUAUCUGAUUUCCCCUGUAUCUAUACUGUAAUCCUAGGCAGAUGUCCAUCUUUGCUUAGAAAUUACCCUGUGUUUCUACUAAAAAUCCUAUUUUCUGUAUGUUUUAAAGAUUACCUUAGUGUUCUUCUGGCUUCAGCUCUCUGCCUCUUUUUGGAUGCAAUAAAUUUGACUUAUAUUUUUACACUUCUAAGCACGAGGAUGAAUAUCUUUCAUUAAAAAGUGUAAUUUGGCAUAGGGAUUAAUCUAUACUUGUCAGAAUUUGACAAAACACCACAGCUGGAGUAGUAAUGAUGGCUUUAAGAAAUUUUAUAAGCCUUUUUAUUACAUGUUUUUAAUGGGCUUACAUAGAACAGUACAAAUGCCAAAGUAUUUAUGUAGGGGAUGGCAACAGUGCUGGAACAAUCGAGCAGACGUCAUGGAGAGAGACCUUCCUUCAUCUGCAAUCACUCAGGGAAAAGGGAUCUCCAAGAGGGGAUGAGGUGCAAGCCAAAGCACUGGGCCUGACAAGGAGAAGAACAGUAGCGAAAUGUUUCAGGUAGAAGAUUCACAAACAAAUUAAGACCCAUAAUUAAUGUGCUAUGCUCUUUUUCUAUGGUCUGUCUAUCAAUGUUGUUUGAUACAUUGGUGUGUCUGUACGAUUUAUGCGUCAUUAAAGGCGUUAGAAAACAAUCAAAGCCAGAGUGGCUGGCAGCACCCUUGAGACCUGAUGGGUGACAAGCAGCUUUCCUAGAAUAGGAGGCUUUCCAAAAUAUUCUGGACCAGUAUGCAGGCUAAUUUAAUAAUAUGGAUCCACCUUAAAUAAAGGUUUCAUCCACGUUCUGGAAAGCAUCUCAUUUUUUUCAGGGCACUAAAUUCAGUCUUUAUCUGUAACAAGAAGGUUGUUUUUCUGAACUAUUACUGUGUGGUCAGCCAGUCCUCUCCUCCAUCUGGUUACAUUUUGAAGUCUUAGAUACAAUCCUAACGAGGAGGCAAGA
rnacentral:lncRNA from 12 species